rnacentral:lncRNA from 1 species
AUAUGUUGGGGCAUCUUUUGGGUAUAUGCCCAAGAGAGGUAUAGCUGGAUCCUCAGGCAGUUCAAUGUCCAAUUUUCUGAGGAACUUCCAGACUGAUUUCCAGAAUGGUUGUACCAGUCUGCAACCCCACCAACAAUGGAGGAGUGUUCCUCUUUCUCUGCAUCCUUGCCAGCAUCUGCUGUCACCUGAGUUUUUGAUCUUAGCCAUUCUCACUGGUGUGAGGUGAAAUCUCAGGGUUGUUUUGAUUUGCAUUUCCCUUAUGACUAAAGAUGUUGAACAUUUCUUUAGGUGUUUCUCAGCCAUUCGGCAUUCCUCAGCUGUGAAUUCUUUGUUUAGGUCUGAACCCCAUUUUUUAAUAGGGUUAUUUGUCUCCCUGCGGUCUAACUUCUUGAGUUCUUUGUAUAUUUUGGAUAUAAGGCCUCUAUCUGUUGUAGGAUUGGUAAAGAUCUUUUCCCAAUCUGUUGGUUGCCGUUUUGUCCUAACCACAGUGUCCUUUGCCUUACAGAAGCUUUGCAGUUUUAUGAGAUCCCAUUUGUCAAUUCUUGAUCUUAGAGCAUAAGCCAUUGUUAACCUGGGACUUUUAUUUCUUAUGAUAUA